ACUCAAAUGAAUAGACGGGGAGGCGCACAAGCAGUGGAGCAUGUGGUUUAAUUCGAUACAAAGCGAAAAACCUCACCAGGAUUUGACAUGUAUCUGCAAACCCUAGGAAACUAGGGCUCCUACGAGGGUGAUACACAGAUGCUGCAUGGCUGUCGUCAGCUCGUGGCGUGAGCUGUCCCCUUAAGUGGGCAAACGAGCGCAACCCGCACCGUAUGUUAAAUAGUUCAUGCGGAACUGCUCCGAAUUUUUCGGGGAGGAAGGCGCGGAUGACGUCAAGUCAGCACGGCUCUUACAUCCUGGGCUACACACAUCCUACAAUGGCGAACAACAACGAGUUGCAAACUGGUAACAGUAAGCUAACCUCUGAAAUUUCGCCUCAGUUCAGAUUGGGGUCUGCAAUUCGACCCCAUGAAGUCGGAAUUGCUAGUAAUCGCGAAUCAGCAGGUCGCGGUGAAUACGUUCUCGCCUCUUGUACACACCGCCCGU
rnacentral:rRNA from 1 species